GAAACCACAUUGCCGACGCACAAUAUUUCAGUGAGUCUAAAUUUGUUAUUAUUUUUUCCAAGGGGAUUAAUAUACAAAUUCUGUGCAAAAUCCGUGGAUUGAAGUGGAAAUCGAAGCGGACAUUAGUUCAGACUGCUCCAAAGUAAUGAGACGCACACAACGUUAAAAAUCGUGCACUUAAUACGAAGCAAACAAUGAAGAAAGGGAAAAAUACCUGUUCCAACAGGUGUGUUGUGUACAACGCGCUACAAACGUGUUUCAUGUUUGUCUGCUGCUUCCUAUCUUUGUCAGCAGUCUCAUUUGCAUGCUUGAAACUUUUCUUCUGCUUGGCUGGUGUCGAGCUGUAAAAUAAAGAGAGAAAUGCACCAAUAAUAGCUAAAACGGUGACGCAUUCUACAAAAUAACUACAGAAAUGAAUUUUUCCAAUAAUUUCCCAAAUGAAUUAUCGGCCUCUGAUGAAACGGCUAUGUGAGAACUUCUGUCACCAUGUUUAUUUCAGUUUAUUUUCAAGGCAGAUAACGAGUAUCUCUUCAGAAAAAAAUGUUGUAGGUGUUUUGAAAUUAUGCGUUGAUGGAUAAAAUUCCAAAAACUUCGUAUAUUUUUAAUUUAUUUUCCUCACUGAUCUCUUCUGUGAAAUUGUUAUAAAAAUAUCUCUGCUUGACUCAAUCAUUGUAAUUUUAAAAGAGACGCUGGAGAUAAAUAAAUGUACUUUUAUUGUACGUCCACCGUGAGUAAACACCCACUUGUGCGGUGAAUUUCGCUCUUGAGUGGGGCAAUGAUUCACCUGUUGACGCGCCGCCGUUGAAAAACGAGGGUCUGCGUUCCGUGAGUCACUCAGAACCCUCAUGUUAUGCGCAUUACAUCGGCAUGCUAUGAACUCUAUCACUUUCUCCGUAUCUAAAAAGGUGUCAGGAAAAUGUUUUACAGCUGUUUAUUCACAACUGCCAGCAUGUAUAUUCACGAGUCGCUGAAAAAUAAGAAAAUUAAGUUAUAUAAACAAGUUUAAGGAAAAAAUAUUAAAUAUAAAAUCAGGUUUAAAUGACUAUUAGUUACCCCGAAAAACUCUUUAAAAUUUAUAAUGUAAGCUUUUCAUAAAAGGAAAAAAAGAAUAAAAAUGCGAGCGUGAUUC